AGAAUGAUCAAUUAUCC
rnacentral:misc_RNA from 1 species